rnacentral:rRNA from 1 species
GGUCAAGUGAAGAAGCGCAUACGGUGGAUGCCUUGGCAGUCAGAGGCGAUGAAAGACGUGGUAGCCUGCGAAAAGCUUCGGGGAGUCGGCAAACAGACUUUGAUCCGGAGAUCUCUGAAUGGGGGAACCCACCUAGGAUAACCUAGGUAUCUUGUACUGAAUCCAUAGGUGCAAGAGGCGAACCAGGGGAACUGAAACAUCUAAGUACCCUGAGGAAAAGAAAUCAACCGAGAUUCCCUUAGUAGUGGCGAGCGAACGGGGAUUAGCCCUUAAGCUUCAUUGAUUUUAGCGGAACGCUCUGGAAAGUGCGGCCAUAGUGGGUGAUAGCCCCGUACGCGAAAGGAUCUUUGAAGUGAAAUCGAGUAGGACGGAGCACGAGAAACUUUGUCUGAACAUGGGGGGACCAUCCUCCAAGGCUAAAUACUACUGACUGACCGAUAGUGAACCAGUACCGUGAGGGAAAGGCGAAAAGAACCCCGGAGAGGGGAGUGAAAUAGAACCUGAAACCGUAUGCGUACAAGCAGUGGGAGCCUACUUGUUAGGUGACUGCGUACCUUUUGUAUAAUGGGUCAGCGACUUAUAUUCAGUGGCAAGCUUAACCGUAUAGGGUAGGCGUAGCGAAAGCGAGUCUUAAUAGGGCGUUUAGUCGCUGGGUAUAGACCCGAAACCGGGCGAUCUAUCCAUGAGCAGGUUGAAGGUUAGGUAACACUGACUGGAGGACCGAACCCACUCCCGUUGAAAAGGUAGGGGAUGACUUGUGGAUCGGAGUGAAAGGCUAAUCAAGCUCGGAGAUAGCUGGUUCUCCUCGAAAGCUAUUUAGGUAGCGCCUCAUGUAUCACUCUGGGGGGUAGAGCACUGUUUCGGCUAGGGGGUCAUCCCGACUUACCAAACCGAUGCAAACUCCGAAUACCCAGAAGUGCCGAGCAUGGGAGACACACGGCGGGUGCUAACGUCCGUCGUGAAAAGGGAAACAACCCAGACCGCCAGCUAAGGUCCCAAAGUUGUGGUUAAGUGGUAAACGAUGUGGGAAGGCUUAGACAGCUAGGAGGUUGGCUUAGAAGCAGCCACCCUUUAAAGAAAGCGUAAUAGCUCACUAGUCGAGUCGGCCUGCGCGGAAGAUGUAACGGGGCUCAAACCACACACCGAAGCUGCGGGUGUCACGCAAGUGACGCGGUAGAGGAGCGUUCUGUAAGCCUGUGAAGGUGAGUUGAGAAGCUUGCUGGAGGUAUCAGAAGUGCGAAUGCUGACAUGAGUAACGACAAUGGGUGUGAAAAACACCCACGCCGAAAGACCAAGGGUUCCUGCGCAACGUUAAUCGACGCAGGGUUAGUCGGUUCCUAAGGCGAGGCUGAAAAGCGUAGUCGAUGGGAAACAGGUUAAUAUUCCUGUACUUCUGGUUACUGCGAUGGAGGGACGGAGAAGGCUAGGCCAGCUUGGCGUUGGUUGUCCAAGUUUAAGGUGGUAGGCUGAAAUCUUAGGUAAAUCCGGGGUUUCAAGGCCGAGAGCUGAUGACGAGUCGUCUUUUAGAUGACGAAGUGGUUGAUGCCAUGCUUCCAAGAAAAGCUUCUAAGCUUCAGGUAACCAGGAACCGUACCCCAAACCGACACAGGUGGUCGGGUAGAGAAUACCAAGGCGCUUGAGAGAACUCGGGUGAAGGAACUAGGCAAAAUGGCACCGUAACUUCGGGAGAAGGUGCGCCGGCUAGGGUGAAGGAUUUACUCCGUAAGC